UACGUAGGUGGCAAGCGUUAUCCGGAUUUACUGGGUGUAAAGGGAGCGUAGACGGUUAUGCAAGUCAGAAGUGAAAGCCCAAAGCUCAACUUCGGGACUGCUUUUGAAACUGUGUAACUAGAGUGCAGGAGGGGUAAGCGGAAUUCCUAGUGUAGCGGUGAAAUGCGUAGAUAUUAGGAGGAACACCGGCGGCGAAGGCGGCUUACUGGACUGUAACUGACGUUGAGGCUCGAAAGCGUGGGGAGCAAACAGG
rnacentral:rRNA from 1 species